GAAUAUUGGUCAAUGGGCGAGAGCCUGAACCAGCCAUGCCGCGUGCAGGAAGACGGCCUUCUGGGUUGUAAACUGCUUUUAUAAGGGGACAAAAAGCCACUGCGGGGGCUCUUGAGAGUACCUUAUGAAUAAGCACCGGCUAACUCCGUGCCAGCAGCCGCGGUAAUACGGAGGGUGCAAGCGUUGUCCGGAUUUAUGGGGUUUAAAGGGUGCGUAGGCGGCCCUGUAAGUCAGUGGUGAAAUACUCCGGCUCAACUGGAGAGGUGCCAUUGAAACUGCGGGGCUUGAGUACAGACGAGGCAUGCGGAAUUUAUGGUGUAGCGGUGAAAUGCAUAGAUACCAUAAAGAACACCGAUAGCGAAGGCAGCAUGCUAGGUUGUAACUGACGCUGAGGCACGAAAGCGUGGGUAUCGAACAGG
rnacentral:rRNA from 1 species